rnacentral:rRNA from 4 species
CAACUUUCAGCAACGGAUCUCUUGGCUCUCGCAUCGAUGAAGAACGCAGCGAAAUGCGAUAAGUAGUGUGAAUUGCAGAAUUCAGUGAAUCAUCGAAUUUUUGAACGCAUCUUGCGCUCCUUGGUAUUCUGAGGAGCAUGCCUGUUUGAGUGUCAUUU